rnacentral:rRNA from 1 species
CCUACGGGAGGCAGCAGUGGGGAAUAUUGCACAAUGGGGGGAACCCUGAUGCAGCGACGCCGCGUGAGUGAAGAAGUAUUUCGGUAUGGAAAGCUCUAUCAGCAGGGAAGAAAAUGACGGUACCUGACUAAGAAGCCCCGGGUAACUACGUGCCAGCAGCCGCGGUAAUACGUAGGGGGCAAGCGUUAUCCGGAUUUACUGGGUGUAAAGGGAGUGCAGACGGCUGUGCAAGUCUGGAGGGAAAGGCUGGGGCCCAACCCCCGGAUUGCCUUGGAUACUGUGCGGCUGGAGUGCAGGCGGGGUAAGCGGAAUAACUAGAGUAGCGGUGAAAUGCGUAGAUAUUAGGAGGAACACCGGUGGCGAAGGCGGCUUACUGGACUGUAACUGACGCUGAGGCUCGAAAGCGUGGGGAGCAAACAGGAUUAGAUACCCGUGUAGUC